GCGUUUGCACGUGUUCGACUAGAAUUGUGGCGGAGAGUCAUGCUCAGCACGUAGCGGUGGCGCAAUACGGUACUCAAUGCUUAGUGGUAAUAACAACAACAAUAACAAGAGUAGCAACGCAUUGCCACCCCUUGAGGCUGGAUCAACCACUAGCGGAAAUACUGAAAAAAGUAAUUAAGAAGAGAGCCAAAAAUCAAGUUGCGAAAAAAGAUUGGUGCAACUAGCGAGAAUAGUAAAAACUAGCGAAUUUAUUACAAAAAAAAAAAAAGUACAACAACAUUGCGAGAUACGCAUGUAUAGCGUGUUAAGUGUCGAGAUUAAAGCGGCAAUAAAACAACAAAAAGAUAGCGGGCAAAAAUAAUCAGAAUUGGUAAGAGAUUUGCGAACAAAUGGGCAUAAAAUGUGGCUGAUGUCGGAAAUUUAAGGAGCUGCGGAGUUAAGCGAUACGUAAAGCGUACAAAAUGAGAUAAAUAAAAAAAAAAAAA